GGGUGCUUUAAAUGGCUACGGAAGAUUAAGGUCAGUCUGUGGAAGCAGUUCUGUGUGUUUCUGCUUGAAGAGAGUCAGAAACAUCCAGCAUGGUCUCAUGUGGCACUGUUUUUUCCUUUGGAGAUAUAUUAGGAAAGUCAGCAAUCAAUGUUGGAGAUGAAGGAGGAGGAAGACGAGGAGGAGGAGGAAGAUGAGGAGGAGGAGAAGGAGGAGGUGCUUUAGGCAGCAGAAAAAAGAUUCUUCUGAAGACUGUCAAAGACACCACAGUGGAGCAGAUAAUCCUCACAGCUGAUGGAAAGGACCAUGUUGGAGCAGAUUUCCAUGCUGCAGCUCAUGGAGGAUGCCCUGCCCCCUUUCACCACCCCAGGGAAUAAGGGGAAGGAUAUGGAGAAACUGGGACUGAAGGACGGAAAUUGUGACUGAAGGGAGAAUAAAAGGGGGAUGGUGGUGUUUAAUUUUUUGUCAGUUUCCUGCAAUAAAUUAAUCUUCUCUGUUGA